ACAGUGAUAGCCACUGUUGCCUGGGGACGGGUCCUAGCGGCUUGGCGGAGCUGGAGCCCUCCCUGGCAGUGCGUCGGCGCUGGGCUAUGGCCCCCUCCUCUCCGGGGGAUCGUCCCCUUGGUCCCCAGACCCUAGGAGUAGGGCAGGGCCGAACCAGGCUAAAGAAACGUCCAGCGUACCUUCAAGGAUGCACCGCGUGAUCUCUAUCGGAUCUCCCCGAUGCGUCAGGCCUGCCUAGAUGGUGUUGGGAGCGCGUCUCCUUGAAUGUUGUCCCGCCUGGGAUUGCGAGGGCUCACCUGAAACUUCAUGUACCAUUGCACUUCCUGAGAAGCUGUCCCCAAUCCCAGGCUCCUAGCAAUGCUGUUCCAGUAAUCUCUCUUCUGUAAGACAGCCACUCCACCCACUGCAGUCUACAAGGAAAGCCUCCGUAGCUCUGCCUUCUUUCCACAGGCCUUUGAAGAAAGCUUCAGGCAAACACCUCAAAGUGCUGCCACCUACAGAUCAGCUGUAUUAUU
rnacentral:antisense_RNA from 1 species